rnacentral:rRNA from 1 species
UACCAGCUCUCCGAGUGGUAGGGAUGAUUAUUGGGCUUAAAGCGUCCGUAGCCGGCUUAGCAAGUUUCCUGUUAAAUUCAGCGACCUAAUCGUUGAGCCGCGGGAAAUACUACUAGGCUAGGAGGCGGGAGAGGUCGACGGUACUUCUGGGGUAGGGGUGAAAUCCUAUAAUCCCGGGAGGACCACCAGUGGCGAAGGCUGUCGACUAGAACGCGCUCGACGGUGAGGGACGAAAGCUGGGGGAGCGAACCGGAUUAGAUACCCGGGUAGUCCCAGCUGUAAACGAUGCGGGCUAGGUGUUGGGGUGGCUACGUGCCACUUCAGUGCCGCAGGGAAGCCAUUAAGCCCGCCGCCUGGGAAGUACGGCCGCAAGGCUGAAACUUAAAGGAAUUGGCGGGGGAGCACACAAGGCGUGAAGCUUGCGGUUC